AGUAGCAACAAUACUUGCUACUAUACGACCCAUCACCCAUUUCUAGAUGUGCCAGCAAACAAUGAACCAUUGGCUGCAUCUUAUUUCCCAAGUAUACUCGCAGAACUGGGUGGAUUUGUGGAUCAGAUUGAUAGCAGGACAAGGCAGUCGCAGGCAAGGGCAGCCCUGGCAAAGUUUGAUGCCAAAUCCAAGAAAGCGUCAAGCUAUAUGAACACGGGGCAACUGAUGUUACAGAAUGCACACCAGGAAGUUAUACGAAAUCUGCGGGCAAUUUUGCAGGACAAGGCGCAUGGCAACAUUUGUCAAGAUCAUCAUCAUCAACCCAACACUUCUGAUACAGCUCAAGCCGAUGAUGUCAGCAUACAUGGUAGCCGUAAUGGUCAUAACAUGGGAUCUGAACAUGUAUUUGACAAAGAGGUUCCAUCUGAAACAAGGGAAAAUGAGUUGCAUUCUGGUGGCCACCCUAAUCAGGAUAGGCCUUUGCGGUUCGCACAAAACGGGGCACGAGAACCAGAUCUGCCAAACCAUGCAACUCUGCACCAUACCCAUGAUGAAACUUUCCCUCACACUGAUAAUGUACAUUGUGAUAAGGACAUGGAAGGUGAACCUUCACUAGUUUCCUCUCAGGUCUGACUAGUGAUCAUGUACUACCUCCUGACGUGGCUGAAGGAGACACAACAGUAGCCUUACCAAUUACUACUCAAGCCGGUGAUGUUUAUAUGCAUGAUACUCACACUGGGCACAAUAUGGGAUUUGAACAUGAGUUUGACAUGCCAAUUCAAUUAGAAACAAGGGCAAAUGAAUUGCAUUCUGGUGACCACACCAACCAAGACAUCAACCACGCCACACCUAUGCAGUUGGAACAACACAUGGCCCUAGAAUCAGGGAUCCCAAUCCCUGUAGCGCAGCACAAUAGCCAUGACGAUAGUUUCCCUCGUUCUGAUAAUCACAAUAUAGAGGAUGAUAAGGAAAUUGAAGACGAACCUUCACCUAUCUGUUCUCAGGUUCCCAUAAAUGUAACCAUUGAUCAACUCGUGCCUCCUAUUGCAGCUAAAGGAGCUACUAGCCUAGACAUUGCUGGCAUUGCAGGAAGCCAUCAUAAUGCUGAUGCUGCAACCUCAAACUACAGUGUGACUAUACCAGCACCAGGUGUUGUUUUGGACACCGACGAUCCAGAACCAUAUCAGAUGGAAGCAACUGAUAUGGCAACUGACGACCCCCUAGGCCCUGUUCUUUUCCAUCCUUGCACUCAAAACGAGCUCAUCCAGCAUCCAUCAGUUGUUCCUAGACCACAAUGCCUUACCAAACGCCCAGCCAUGUAUGUGUCACCUUUUAAAGGUGAUCCACAAUGAGCAAAAGUUUCUAUGUCAAAAGCACUUGCUGUAAGGAAGAAGUUCCACCCUCACCUAAAGUGUUUAAGUGAUGUGUUCAUCUGCUACGGUCUGAAAGAAUUCAAUGGAGAAGAAAUAUUCGAAUCGUUCGUUGAUGACGAAUGGCUUUCAACCAAAUUCAUGUCCUACUUUGUUGUUUGCUUGAGCCAUGAUGAAUCAAUCCACAUGGCUGAGGGUGCUGGAUACAGGGUCUUCCUAUCUCCAGAGAUUGGGGAAUAUGUAAAUAUAGAGGAAGAUGAGGGCUUUUCCCAGUGGGAUUCUCCACCGGCCCUAGCCAUUUUACAGCGUGACAUUGAGCACAUCGACCCAACCAAAGUAAAGCUUUUCUUUUUGCCGGUGAUGGAGGAGGACCACUAUAGUGUCUACUGCAUCAAUUUCAUUCACGAUCGGAUAGAUGUACUUGAUUCUAGUCCAGAAGACCACACAAUUUAUCAUAAUGUUCUCGGUGACCGGAUCAUUCGAAGGCUUAAUCUCCUAUUCCAGCUGGCCACGGAUUAUAGAGUCAAGCAGUUUACUCGAUUCAAGCGCCCAAUAAUUGACGUAUGUAUGCACUCACAUGAGAAUGAUUGUGGAUUCUUUACAAUCAAGUUCAUGGAGCUUUGGAAUGGUGAAUCUUUCCAUGUUCCCAUCCUCACGGCAAACGGACGUCUGUAUAGGUCUGAGCUCUUAUUCUACGGCCUCUACCAUCCACUGAACACUAUCAAGAAGCUCCCUGCUGGACUAGAAGCAUACAGGCCUCGUCUGUGACCCUCCUGUCUCCUCCAAAUUAUCGUCGAAAUAUGUGUGCAAGUGAACAAGUCUGUUAUCAAUUUUUUCCCAC